CCCAGACUCCUACGGGAGGCAGCAGUGGGGAAUAUUGCACAAUGGGGGAAACCCUGAUGCAGCGACGCCGCGUGAGUGAAGAAGUAUCUCGGUACGUAAAGCUCUCUCAGCAGGGAAGAAAAUGACGGUACCUGACCAAGAAGCCCCGGCUAACUACGUGCCAGCAGCCGCGGUAAUACGUAGGGGGCAAGCGUUAUCCGGAUUUACUGGGUGUAAAGGGGGCGCAGACGGCGAUGCAAGCCAGGAGUGAAAGCCCGGGGCCCAACCCCGGGACUGCUCUUGGAACUGCGUGGCUGGAGUGCAGGAGGGGCAGGCGGAAUUCCUAGUGUAGCGGUGAAAUGCGUAGAUAUUAGGAGGAACACCAGUGGCGAAGGCGGCCUGCUGGACGAUGACUGACGUUGAGGCUCGAAAGCGUGGGGAGCAAACAGGAUUAGAUACCCCAGUAAU
rnacentral:rRNA from 1 species